rnacentral:rRNA from 1 species
UACGGAGGAUGCGAGCGUUAUCCGGAUUUAUUGGGUUUAAAGGGUGCGCAGGUUGUUUGAUAAGUCAGUGGUGAAAGUCUGUCGCUUAACGGUAGGAUUGCCAUUGAUACUGUUAGACUUGAAUAUGGAUGAGGUAGGCGGAAUGUGUAGUGUAUCGGUGAAAUGCAUAGAUAUUACACAGAACACCGAUUGCGAAGGCAGCUUACUAAUCCAUCAUUGACGCUGAGGCACGAAAGCGUGGGGAUCAAACA